rnacentral:rRNA from 1 species
UACGAGUUUGAUCAUGGCUCAGGAUGAACGCUAGCGGCAGGCUUAAUACAUGCAAGUCAAGGGGGUAGCAAUACAACCGGCGCACGGGUGAGUAACGCGUACACAACAUACCAUAUACUGGAGUAUAGCUUUGGGAAACUGAAGGUAAUCCUCCAUAACAUUGCGAGAGGGCAUCUGAUUGCAAUUAAAGUUUCGGCGGUAUAUGAUUGGUGUGCGUUUGAUUAGCUAGUUGGUAGGGUAACGGCCUACCAAGGCGACGAUCAAUAGCUGGCGUGAGAGCGCGACCAGCCACACUGGAACUGAGACACGGUCCAGACUCCUACGGGAGGCAGCAGUAGGGAAUAUUGGACAAUGGAGGAAACUCUGAUCCAGCCAUGCCGCGUGAUAGAUGAAGGCCCUCUGGGUUGUAAAUAUCUUUUAUCUGGGAAGAACACUCCUAUUCUUAGGAACUUGACGGUACCAGAGGAAUAAGCACCGGCUAACUCCGUG